rnacentral:piRNA from 1 species
UAUUGAGUGGAAGUAGCUAGGGUCUCAGGGU